rnacentral:rRNA from 1 species
GGUUCAGGACGAACGCUGGCGGCGUGCCUAAUACAUGCAAGUAGAACGCUGAAGACUUAGCUUGCUAAAGUUGGAAGAGUUGCGAACGGGUGAGUAACGCGUAGGUAACCUGCCUACUAGCGGGGGAUAACUAUUGGAAACGAUAGCUAAUACCGCAUAACAGCAUUUAACACAUGUUAGAUGCUUGAAAGGAGCAAUUGCUUCACUAGUAGAUGGACCUGCGUUGUAUUAGCUAGUUGGUGAGGUAACGGCUCACCAAGGCGACGAUACAUAGCCGACCUGAGAGGGUGAUCGGCCACACUGGGACUGAGACACCGGCCCAGACUCCUACGGGAGGCAGCAGUAGGAAUCUUCGGCAAGUGGGGCCAACCCUGACCGAGCAACGCCGCGUGAGUGAAGGUUAAAGGGUUUUCGGAUACGUAAAGCUCUGUUGUAAGAGAAGAACGUGUGUGAGAGUAGGAAGUUCACACAGUGACGGUAACUUACCAGAAGGGACGGCUAACUACGUGCCAGCAGCAGC